rnacentral:rRNA from 1 species
AUUGAACGCUGGCGGCAGGCCUAACACAUGCAAGUCGAGCGGUAGAGAGGAGCUUGCUUCUCUUGAGAGCGGCGGACGGGUGAGUAAUGCCUAGGAAUCUGCCUAGUGGUGGGGGAUAACGUUCGGAAACGGACGCUAAUACCGCAUACGUCCUACGGGAGAAAGCGGGGGAUCUUCGGACCUCGCGCCAUUAGAUGAGCCUAGGUCGGAUUAGCUAGUUGGUGAGGUAAUGGCUCACCAAGGCGACGAUCCGUAACUGGUCUGAGAGGAUGAUCAGUCACACUGGAACUGAGACACGGUCCAGACUCCUACGGGAGGCAGCAGUGGGGAAUAUUGGACAAUGGGCGAAAGCCUGAUCCAGCCAUGCCGCGUGUGUGAAGAAGGUCUUCGGAUUGUAAAGCACUUUAAGUUGGGAGGAAGGGUAGUAACCUAAUACGUUGCUACUUUGACGUUACCGACAGAAUAAGCACCGGCUAACUUCGUGCCAGCAGCCGCGGUAAUAC